AUUGAACGCUGGCGGCAUGCCUUACACAUGCAAGUCGAACGGCAGCACGGGUGCUUGCACCUGGUGGCGAGUGGCGAACGGGUGAGUAAUACAUCGGAACAUGUCCUGUAGUGGGGGAUAGCCCGGCGAAAGCCGGAUUAAUACCGCAUACGAUCUACGGAUGAAAGCGGGGGACCUUCGGGCCUCGCGCUAUAGGGUUGGCCGAUGGCUGAUUAGCUAGUUGGUGGGGUAAAGGCCUACCAAGGCGACGAUCAGUAGCUGGUCUGAGAGGACGACCAGCCCCAGGGGAGCGGGACAGCGCCCCAGCCUCCGAGGGGAGGCAGCGGGGGGGAAUUUGGGACAAGGGGCAAAGGCUGAACCCAGCAUGGCGGGGUGUGGAAAGAAGGCCUCGGGGUUUAAAAGCAUUUUUGCCGGGAAAAAAAUCCUGGGCCCUAAUACGGUGGGGGGAUGACGGUCCCGAAAAAAUAAGCCCCGGCAAACUACGUG
rnacentral:rRNA from 1 species